UUAAAUAGAACCUUAAGCUUCCUAACGGCUCCCAAAGCAUCUCCUUAUCAUUCAAGAAAAUCCUACCAAGGGUUUGAGGUAAUUCUUCCUUCGGAAAGAUCGUAGUACUCAUCUAAGCUUGUUAUUUUCUUAUUGUAGUUGAUUUAUGGACUCCUUCAAGUUGAAGUAAGCUCAAGUUAGGGGUGUUCUUGUCAAUUAAGGUAAGAAGUCCUUCUUCUACAUGUAUUUGAGCAUAUCUAAGUCUUGGUUAAGUUGUCGAAGUGAGAACUUGUGGAAUCGGCCAUCGGAAAGUCAUAUAUAGCUUGCUAUAUUUGCUGGACUAUUUUGGAGUUGCUUAUAUGUUGUCUUAUGGCUAGAAAUAAUGAAGUAAUACUUGAAUAUGUUGUAUUUAUUGUUUCUAUGUACCUUGAAAGAAAGAAGGACUUAAAGUAUAGCUUUACUAGUUGUAACCCGAGCUUGUCACUUGACAUAUCAUUUGUGUUGGUUGAAGAGAUAAAUGUGUUGUUGCUAAUUGUUGUGAUUGUUAUUGUUGGAAACUUGAGGAUUGUAAAAGAAACAGGGGAGAUGAUGCCCGUUUUAUUAUAGAAUAAGCUUGUCGUUUGAUAUAUGAUAGUUGUAUCAUUUGUAGCUUUACGAUAGCGUCAUUAUCAUUGAUUGUAGAUUGAGGCGCUGCUCAAGUUAAGCGUAUUGAGUUGUUGAACAAUUGACGAAAGGUAUGUUAAGGCUAUUUCUCUUUUUUUGAUGGUAUGAAUCCAUGGUUAAGUAAGCUUCGAACAUAGUAUACCCUGGAAAAGUCAUUCGUAAAUAUCCCAUGUUGUGUUAUUCCAUCUUGCUCAUGAUGUAGCUAUCCUUUGUUGGGAAUUCCUAUUCAGUAGCAUUGUACCAUGUCUGAUUAAGAAUAGAGAGUAUACAUGUGUCAUUUACUGUAUUACUAUUAGGUUGCGGGGCUAGACAGAUGCCUUCGGGGCUAUACAUAUAAACACCGAGUCCUAUAUGAGGCCGGAUAAUUUAUUUCGGUAUUACUUAUAUGAUAUGAGUCAAAGACGAGUAAGUAUGUUUCCAAUUAUCAUUGACUCCUCAAAUUACAUUCAGUAUAUCAUGUAUAUUAAUGCAGUUUCAAUUUCAAUUAUUCAGUUGACCUACAUGCUCGGUGCAUUGUAUUGAUGCCCCUUUUACCGGGGGCACUGCAUUUUAUGCUUGUAGGUCCUAACACUCAGAGAGAUAGGCCUCAACAGUAGGCGUGUCAGUAUACAGCUUGAUUGGUAUGCUCCACAUCAUCCGAAGUUAACAUGUCUAGAGUUUUUGUUGUAUAUUCAGACAAUAUGGGUAGGUCGGGACCCUGUCCCGGCCAUAAUACAGUUGUAUUCUGUAGAGGCUUAUAGACAUGCUCUGUGUGUACAGAUGUCAGCAUUGUGUCCUUAUCGGUCCUUGUAUGUAUUCUUUUUUGAUUGUAUGGGUUAACAUUACUCAUGAUGGCCUUGUCGGCCUGUAUGUGUGUGUGUGUAUA
rnacentral:lncRNA from 1 species